rnacentral:rRNA from 1 species
CAUAGGUUAAUGAGGCGAACCGGGGGAACUGAAACAUCUAAGUACCCCGAGGAAAAGAAAUCAACCGAGAUUCCCCCAGUAGCGGCGAGCGAACGGGGAGGAGCCCAGAGCCUGAAUCAGUGUGUGUGUUAGUGGAAGCGUCUGGAAAGGCGCGCGAUACAGGGUGACAGCCCCGUACACAAAAAUGCACAUACUGUGAGCUCGAUGAGUAGGGCGGGACACGUGGUAUCCUGUCUGAAUAUGGGGGGACCAUCCUCCAAGGCUAAAUACUCCUGACUGACCGAUAGUGAACCAGUACCGUGAGGGAAAGGCGAAAAGAACCCCGGCGAGGGGAGUGAAAAAGAACCUGAAACCGUGUACGUACAAGCAGUGGGAGCCUCUUUUAUGGGGUGACUGCGUACCUUUUGUAUAAUGGGUCAGCGACUUAUAUUCUGUAGCAAGGUUAACCGAAUAGGGGAGCCGAAGGGAAACCGAGUCUUAACUGGGCGUUAAGUUGCAGGGUAUAGACCCGAAACCCGGUGAUCUAGCCAUGGGCAGGUUGAAGGUUGGGUAACACUAACUGGAGGACCGAACCGACUAAUGUUGAAAAAUUAGCGGAUGACUUGUGGCUGGGGGUGAAAGGCCAAUCAAACCGGGAGAUAGCUGGUUCUCCCCGAAAGCUAUUUAGGUAGCGCCUCGUGAACUCAUCUCCGGGGGUAGAGCACUGUUUCGGCAAGGGGGUCAUCCCGACUUACCAACCCGAUGCAAACUGCGAAUACCGGAGAAUGUUAUCACGGGAGACACACGGCGGGUGCUAACGUCCGUCGUGAAGAGGGAAACAACCCAGACCGCCAGCUAAGGUCCCAAAGUCAUGGUUAAGUGGGAAACGAUGUGGGAAGGCCCAGACAGCCAGGAUGUUGGCUUAGAAGCAGCCAUCAUUUAAAGAAAGCGUAAUAGCUCACUGGUCGAGUCGGCCUGCGCGGAAGAUGUAACGGGGCUAAACCAUGCACCGAAGCUGCGGCAGCGACACUAUGUGUUGUUGGGUAGGGGAGCGU